rnacentral:rRNA from 1 species
CACGAAGGGGGCUAGCGUUGCUCGGAAUCACUGGGCGUAAAGCGCACGUAGGCGGACUCUUAAGUCAGGGGUGAAAUCCUGGAGCUCAACUCCAGAACUGCCUUUGAUACUGGGAGUCUUGAGUUCGGGAGAGGUGAGUGGAACUGCGAGUGUAGAGGUGAAAUUCGUAGAUAUUCGCAAGAACACCCGUGGCGAAGGCGGCUACUCUGGUACGGUAUUGACGCUGAGACGCGAAAGCGUGGGGAGCGAACAGG